rnacentral:rRNA from 1 species
AGAUUGAACGCUAGCGGGAUGCUUUACACAUGCAAGUCGAACGGCAGCGCGGACUUCGGUCUGGCGGCGAGUGGCGAACGGGUGAGUAAUAUAUCGGAACGUGCCCAGUAGCGGGGGAUAACUACGCGAAAGCGUGGCUAAUACCGCAUACGCCCUACGGGGGAAAGGGGGGAUCGCAAGACCUCUCACUAUUGGAGCGGCCGAUAUCAGAUUAGCUAGUUGGUGAGGUAAAGGCUCACCAAGGCGACGAUCUGUAGCUGGUUUGAGAGGACGACCAGCCACACUGGGACUGAGACACGGCCCAGACUCCGUACGGGAGCAGCAGUGGGGAAUUUUGGACAAGUGGGGGAAACCUGAUCCAGCCAUCCGCGUGUGCGAUGAA